GGGUUGUGAGGUUAAGCGACUAAGCGUACACGGUGGAUGCCCUGGCAGUCAGAGGCGAUGAAGGACGUGCUAAUCUGCGAAAAGCGUCGGUAAGGUGAUAUGAACCGUUAUAACCGGCGAUGUCCGAAUGGGGAAACCCAGUGUGAUUCGUCACACUAUCGUUAACUGAAUACAUAGGUUAACGAGGCGAACCGGGGGAACUGAAACAUCUAAGUACCCCGAGGAAAAGAAAUCAACCGAGAUUCCCCCAGUAGCGGCGAGCGAACGGGGAGCAGCCCAGAGUCUGAAUCAGCUUGUGUGUUAGUGGAACGGUCUGGAAAGUCCGACGGUACAGGGUGAUAGUCCCGUACACCAAAAUGCACAGGUUGUGAACUCGAAGAGUAGGGCGGGACACGUGGUAUCCUGUCUGAAUAUGGGGGGACCAUCCUCCAAGGCUAAAUACUCCUGACUGACCAAUAGUGAACCAGUACCGUGAGGGAAAGGCGAAAAGAACCCCGGCGAGGGGAGUGAAAAAGAACCUGAAACCGUGUACGUACAAGCAGUGGGAGCACCUUCGGGUGUGACUGCGUACCUUUUGUAUAAUGGGUCAGCGACUUAUAUUCUGUAGCAAGGUUAACCGUAUAGGGGAGCCGCAGGGAAACCGAGUCUUAACUGGGCGUUAAGUUGCAGGGUAUAGACCCGAAACCCGGUGAUCUAGCCAUGGGCAGGUUGAAGGUUGGGUAACACUAACUGGAGGACCGAACCGACUAAUGUUGAAAAAUUAGCGGAUGACUUGUGGCUGGGGGUGAAAGGCCAAUCAAACCGGGAGAUAGCUGGUUCUCCCCGAAAGCUAUUUAGGUAGCGCCUCGUGAAUUCAUCUUCGGGGGUAGAGCACUGUUUCGGCUAGGGGGUCAUCCCGACUUACCAACCCGAUGCAAACUACGAAUACCGAAGAAUGUUAUCACGGGAGACACACGGCGGGUGCUAACGUCCGUCGUGAAGAGGGAAACAACCCAGACCGCCAGCUAAGGUCCCAAAGUCAUGGUUAAGUGGGAAACGAUGUGGGAAGGCACAGACAGCCAGGAUGUUGGCUUAGAAGCAGCCAUCAUUUAAAGAAAGCGUAAUAGCUCACUGGUCGAGUCGGCCUGCGCGGAAGAUGUAACGGGGCUAAACCAUGCACCGAAGCUGCGGCAGCGACACUAUGUGUUGUUGGGUAGGGGAGCGUUCUGUAAGCCUGCGAAGGUGACCUGUGAGGGUUGCUGGAGGUAUCAGAAGUGCGAAUGCUGACAUAAGUAACGAUAAAGCGGGUGAAAAGCCCGCUCGCCGGAAGACCAAGGGUUCCUGUCCAACGUUAAUCGGGGCAGGGUGAGUCGACCCCUAAGGCGAGGCCGAAAGGCGUAGUCGAUGGGAAACAGGUUAAUAUUCCUGUACUUGGUGUUACUGCGAAGGGGGGACGGAGAAGGCUAUGUUAGCCGGGCGACGGUUGUCCCGGUUUAAGCAUGUAGGCUGGUUAUCCAGGCAAAUCCGGAUAAUCAAGGCUGAGGUGUGAUGACGAGGCACUACGGUGCUGAAGUAACAAAUGCCCUGCUUCCAGGAAAAGCCUCUAAGCAUCAGGUAACAUCAAAUCGUACCCCAAACCGACACAGGUGGUCAGGUAGAGAAUACCAAGGCGCUUGAGAGAACUCGGGUGAAGGAACUAGGCAAAAUGGUGCCGUAACUUCGGGAGAAGGCACGCUGGUGUGUAGGUGAAGUCCCUGCGGAUGGAGCUGAGACCAGUCGAAGAUACCAGCUGGCUGCAACUGUUUAUUAAAAACACAGCACUGUGCAAACACGAAAGUGGACGUAUACGGUGUGACGCCUGCCCGGUGCCGGAAGGUUAAUUGAUGGGGUUAUCCGUAAGGAGAAGCUCUUGAUCGAAGCCCCGGUAAACGGCGGCCGUAACUAUAACGGUCCUAAGGUAGCGAAAUUCCUUGUCGGGUAAGUUCCGACCUGCACGAAUGGCGUAAUGAUGGCCAGGCUGUCUCCACCCGAGACUCAGUGAAAUUGAACUCGCUGUGAAGAUGCAGUGUACCCGCGGCAAGACGGAAAGACCCCGUGAACCUUUACUAUAGCUUGACACUGAACAUUGAGCCUUGAUGUGUAGGAUAGGUGGGAGGCUUUGAAGCGUGGACGCCAGUCUGCGUGGAGCCAACCUUGAAAUACCACCCUUUAAUGUUUGAUGUUCUAACGUUGGCCCCUUAUCGGGGUUGCGGACAGUGUCUGGUGGGUAGUUUGACUGGGGCGGUCUCCUCCCAAAGCGUAACGGAGGAGCACGAAGGUUAGCUAAUCCUGGUCGGACAUCAGGAGGUUAGUGCAAUGGCAUAAGCUAGCUUGACUGCGAGCGUGACGGCGCGAGCAGGUGCGAAAGCAGGUCAUAGUGAUCCGGUGGUUCUGAAUGGAAGGGCCAUCGCUCAACGGAUAAAAGGUACUCCGGGGAUAACAGGCUGAUACCGCCCAAGAGUUCAUAUCGACGGCGGUGUUUGGCACCUCGAUGUCGGCUCAUCACAUCCUGGGGCUGAAGUAGGUCCCAAGGGUAUGGCUGUUCGCCAUUUAAAGUGGUACGCGAGCUGGGUUUAGAACGUCGUGAGACAGUUCGGUCCCUAUCUGCCGUGGGCGCUGGAGAAUUGAGGGGGGCUGCUCCUAGUACGAGAGGACCGGAGUGGACGCAUCACUGGUGUUCGGGUUGUCAUGCCAAUGGCACUGCCCGGUAGCUAAAUGCGGAAGAGAUAAGUGCUGAAAGCAUCUAAGCACGAAACUUGCCCCGAGAUGAGUUCUCCCUGAGACUUUAAGUCUCCUGAAGGAACGUUGAAGACGACGACGUUGAUAGGCCGGGUGUGUAAGCGCAGCGAUGCGUUGAGCUAACCGGUACUAAUGAACCGUGAGGCUUAACCUUACAACGCCGAAG
rnacentral:rRNA from 1 species